CUAUAUAAGUACUAAACAAGACUUAAAAUUCCUCACCCGACUAUUCUUGUACUUGAAGAAAAUCAAUUUACCAUCCUACAACUCCCUAUGACCGCAAGAACAAUCGGUUAACAUUUUGUGAACCGCAUGCCAGGAAUUUUUAUAGAGUAAAGGAGUGUCUGUUGAAUCCUUUUUACCCUCCGACAAAUCAAUUCCACAAAUCAACAUAAUCAACUUCUCGCCAAUAAAAUGGGUUUGGAGCAGUGCUGAAUAAGAGAGAAAGCUGAAAUAAGUGCCGUAAAAAAUGUAAAAACUUUUUUAUAGUUGCUGCAUAAAAAACGUAAAAUAAAAACCCAACCGAAGAAAUCUACGAAAGAAUGCAUAACAAAAGAAAAUCACCUUCGUGGGCGUGCAGGUAUACGUAUAAAACUGAAGUGCGGCGGGGCAUGUGCAGCACACGAACAACGAAAAAGACGGCAGGAAAAAAUUACAAGGAAGCAGCACCCAGAAGAGCGAGUUUCAAGACGAGAGUGAUGAAAGGAUACCCUAUUCUUAAGGAUAAUAAUUAUGAAGGAAUGCCUUAAUAUGCUUACUCUAGAUUAUCCUUAUCAAUACAGUUUAGCUACUAUCAAGAGUUCGCUCUAAUUGGUAAAUGGAUAAAAACAAAUGGUAUAUUUGGCAAACAC
rnacentral:lncRNA from 1 species